rnacentral:siRNA from 1 species
AAAUCUCUCUGCAUGCAUCACCAU